rnacentral:rRNA from 1 species
AGCGAACGCUGGCGGCAGGCCUAACACAUGCAAGUCGAGCGCCCGUAGCAAUACGGGAGCGGCAGACGGGAGAGUAACACGUGGGAACGUACCCUUCAGUUCGGAAUAACCCAGGGAAACUUGGACUAAUACCGAAUACGUCCGUAAGGAGAAAGAUUUAUCGCUGAAGGAUCGGCCCGCGUCUGAUUAGCUUGUUGGUGAGGUAACGGCUCACCAAGGCGACGAUCAGUAGCUGGUCNGAGAGGAUGAUCAGCCUCACUGGGACUGAGACACGGCCCAGACUCCUACGGGAGGCAGCAGUGGGGAAUAUUGGACAAUGGGCGCAAGCCUGAUCCAGCCAUGCCGCGUGGAUGAUGAAGGCCCUAGGGUUGUAAAGUCCUUUCGGCGGGGAAGAUAAUGACGGUACCCGCAGAAGAAGCCCCGGCUAACUUCGUGCCAGCAGCCGCGGUAAG